AUGCUCUCGGGGAUCUCGCCGGCAAGCAUGUUGUUGGCGACGUUGAGCUGCUCGAGGGCAUGCAUAUUGCCGAUGGUGUCGGGCAGCUUGCCGACGAUGCCGUUGGAGCUGAGGUCGAGCACGGUGAGCUUGUCCAGCUUGCCGAUCUCCGGCGGGAUGCAGGAGGAGAUGCCGCUGUUGAGGAGGAUCAGCUCGUUGAGCGUCCCGGCCAUGUCGCCGAUGCUGCUGGGCAGGCACCCCCCGACCCGCGGCAGGUUGGCCAGCACGAUCACCGACGCCGUGGAGCUGCUGAAGUUGGCCGGCAGCGUGAACUCGAAGUUGUUGUUGUUGAUGAAGAGCGCAUCGAUCUUCUUCUCGAAGAUGGCCGCCGGCACCUCGCCGCAGAAGUUGUUAAACCUUGAGAGACGCCCUGAUGUCGACGUACUGGACGUUGGGGAGGCAGAGGAACUGGGAGGGGAAGUUGCCGGUGAGCUGGUUGUUGCUGACGUCGAUCUCGUGGAGGAGGUGGAGGGAGCGGAGGGCGUCGGGCAGCGCGCCGCAGAAGCGGUUGGAGUUGAGGUGGAAGACGGCGAGGUCGGAGAGCAGGCCCAGCUCCUCCGGCAGCGUGCCGGCCAGGUCGCCGUGAUUGAGGUCCACGGAGGCCACGGUGCGCGCGCAGGGAUCGUCGGGCGCCGUCGCGCAGUAGACGCCGUAGUAGCUGCACACGUCGGGGCCGCACCAGUUCUUGGUCAGGUUCUUGGGGUCGUCCGUGAUGGCCUUCUUCAGCGCCUGCAGCGCCACGUACGCCUUCUCCAGCCGCGAGUUGUUGGUCGCCGGCGCCGCGGGCGGCGCCCCCACCGGCUGCGACGCCGCCAGCAGCAGCGGCGACGCCACGACCACCAGCGCCAGGAGCACCGCCGCCGUCGACCCCAUCAUCGCCAUAGGUAA
rnacentral:rRNA from 1 species